GGACGAACGCUGGCGGCGUGCCUAACACAUGCAAGUCGAGCGGAGGUACCCAAGGAGUAAUCUGAGGGUACUUUAGCGGCGGACGGGUGAGUAACGCGUGAGCAACCUGCCUUUCACAGGGGGAUAAGGCGGCGAAAGCCGCUCUAAUACCGCAUGAGACCACGGGGAUGAUAUUUCUGGGGUCAAAGGAGCAAUCCGGUGAGAGAUGGGCUCGCGUCCGAUUAGGUAGUUGGUGAGGUAACGGCCCACCAAGCCAAUGAUCGGUAGCCGGCCUGAGAGGGUGAACGGCCACAUUGGAACUGAGAGACGGUCCAAACUCCUACGGGAGGCAGCAGUGGGGAAUAUUGGGCAAUGGGGGAAACCCUGACCCAGCAACGCCGCGUGAGGGAAGAAGGUUUUCGGAUUGUAAACCUCUGUUCUUGGAGAAGAGAAGAAGACGGUAUCCAAGGAGGAAGCCCCGGCUAACUACGUGCCAGCAGCCGCGGUAAUACGGAGGAUGCGAGCGUUAUCCGGAUUUAUUGGGUUUAAAGGGUGCGUAGGCGGCCGAGUAAGUCAGCGGUGAAAUUUUGCAGCUUAACUGUAACAGUGCCGUUGAUACUGCAUGGCUAGGAUUUGGUUGCUGUGGGUGGAAUGUGUGGUGUAGCGGUGAAAUGCUUAGAUAUCACACAGAAUAUCAAUUGCGAAGGCAGCUCACAAAGCCAAGAUUGACGCUGAGGCACGAAAGUGUGGGGAUCAAACAGGAUUAGAUACCCUGGUAGUCCACACUGUAAACGAUGAUAACUCACUGCCGGCGAUACACAGUCGGUGGCCAAGCGAAAGCGAUAAGUUAUCCACCUGGGGAGUACGACCGCAAGGUUGAAACUCAAAGGAAUUGACGGGGGCCCGCACAAGCGGAGGAACAUGUGGUUUAAUUCGAUGAUACGCGAGGAACCUUACCCGGGCUCGAACGGUGCAUGAAUAAGCAAGAGAUUGUUUAGUCCUUCGGGACAUGUAUCGAGGUGCUGCAUGGUUGUCGUCAGCUCGUGCCGUGAGGUGUCGGCUUAAGUGCCAUAACGAGCGCAACCCUUGUUGUUAGUUACCAACAGGUAAAGCUGGGGACUCUAACGAGACUGCCACCGUAAGGUGUGAGGAAGGGGGGGAUGACGUCAAAUCAGCACGGCCCUUAUGUCCGGGGCGACACACGUGUUACAAUGGGGGGUACAGAGGGCAGCCAUCCGGUGACGGAGCGCCAAUCUCCAAAACCCUUCUCAGUUCGGAUUGGAGUCUGCAACCCGACUCCAUGAAGUUGGAUUCGCUAGUAAUCGCGCAUCAGCCAUGGCGCGGUGAAUACGUUCCCGGGCCU
rnacentral:rRNA from 1 species